AGGGUGGGUCACGCGCAGACAUGGGUCUUGGGGUAUAACACAUGUGCAGUGUAACUGAAGCUGCGCAGUGCGUUGCUAUUGGCUCAAUUUUGGCGAGUGCAGACCAGAUUUUACAGCGCAUGUGUUGUACACCAAAGACAUGACGCGGUGAUGAAGCGUGACCCAGCCCACUUCAC